rnacentral:misc_RNA from 1 species
AACGCACAUUGCGCCCACUGGUAUUCCGGUGGGCAUGCCUGUUCGAGCGUCAUUAUCCCCCCUCAAACCCCCGUGUUUGGUGUUGGGCCGGGUCAGUUUGGAGACGAACUGACCGGCCCCAAAGACAAUGACGGCGUCCGCGGGACCCUCGGUGCAACGAGCUUUUCGGAGCACGCGUCGAGUUUUCAAGGUCCCCCGGGCCCGGUCUUACCUAAGAAUAUUUUUUCAGGUUGACCUCGGAUCAGGUAGGAAUACCCGCUGAACUUAA